UACGGAGGGUGCAAGCGUUGCUCGGAAUUAUUGGGCGUAAAGGGUAGGUAGGUGGUCUUAUUUGUCUGGGGUGAAAGCCUUGAGCUUAACUCAAGAAGUGCCCCAGAAACGGUGAGACUAGAGUCCUGGAGAGGGUCGUGGAAUUCCCGGUGUAGCGGUGAAAUGCGUAGAGAUCGGGAGGAACAUCAGUGGCGAAGGCGGCCAUCUGGGACAACACUGACGCUGAAGCACGAAAGCGCGGGGAGCAAACAGG
rnacentral:rRNA from 1 species